GCCCGGCUAGCUCAGUCAGUAGAGCAUGAGACUCUUAAACUCAGGGUCGAGAAUUCGAGUCCUACGUUGGGUA
rfam:Danio rerio chromosome 4, GRCz11 reference primary assembly.